GACGAACGCUGGCGGCGUGCUUAACACAUGCAAGUCGAACGGAAAGGCCCUGCUUUUGUGGGGUGCUCGAGGGGCGAACGGGUGAGUAACACGUGAGUAACCUGCCCUGGACUUUGUGAUAACUUCAGGAAACUGGGGCUAAUACCUGAUAGGAGCUCCUGCUGCAUGGUGGGGGUUGGAAAGUUUCGGCGGUUGGGGAUGGACUCGCGGGUUAUCAGCUUGUUGGUGGGGUAGUGGCUUACCAAGGCUUUGAAGGGUAGCCGGCCUGAGAGGGUGACCGGGGACAAUAGGACUGAGAGACGGCGCAGACUCCAACGGGAGGCAGCGGGGGGGAGUAUUACCCAAUGGGCGGAAGCGUGAUGAAGAAGCGCUGCGUGCGGGAUGACGGCCUUCGGGUUGUAAACCGCUGUAGCCUGUGACGAAGCGUGAGUGACGGUAAUGGGUAAAGAAGCACCGGCUAACUACGUG
rnacentral:rRNA from 1 species